UACCACACCUCCACACCCUUCUACCAUACACACCCUUCUACCAUACAUACAUCCACCCACCAUUCCACCACGGUUUUUAUCAUUUCUGUUUUUAAUAGUCCAAUAUUAUGUGAAAGAAGAAGGAAAAAGCAAUUCUAGGAAACAAGAAGCUCAAGAUCGCUGUAAGUUCUUCUAGCUUAUACUUAAUUUACAUUGUAGUCUUAAUGGAGUCACAAUGUUUCGUGGAAUGAAUGAAAAUCUGAAUGUUAUAUUAUGUAUAAAUGGCAUGUAGUCGACUUGUUGAAACGGGUCAAUUUGGGUAAAUGGUUGGAAACAAACAUGAAAUCUUGGAUUUUUCUAUGGUACUACAUGAGGUGAAAUUCAUAACAACAACCACAUUCGCUAACCACCUUGAAUACUUGACCUCUCUUAUCUUAUCUGCUCGGAGUAGCUUAUCUACCUCCUCCUGGAUAAUGGCAUUCCUCUCAGGUGCAAACUUUCUCCUUUUUCGAUGUAUGGGCUUGAAUGACCUGUCAAUGCCAAGCUUAUGAGUAAUUAUAUCUCUAUAAUUACUAGUAUGUGAAAUAGCAUGGAAAGGAUGAACUUGGAUGGAAGCAUAAAAAGAAAUUAUAUCAAGAAUGGAUUAGUAGCAUGGAGAAUGCGUAGUUGAAUAGAUAACCAGUUGUCACAAAGAUAACGAAGUAGUAUGGAACUUGUUUGAUUAUUUAUUGUUUGUAACUUGUUGUGGACUCCUUGGAGGUAAAUCAUCAAUCUAGGAUCAAGUCAAGCCCAUAGACGAAUAUACACACGCUCUUUUUGUUUGAUGUAUCAACUUUCAAAUGGGUCAAAUCUUAGUUUUUGUAUGUAUAUGGUUUUCAAUCCUUGGUUAGUAUAAUGAAUGCAAACCUAACUUUUGUA